rnacentral:lncRNA from 1 species
CUGCGAGAUAAGUCCACAUAACGGCGACUUUUUAUAAUUUUUUGGACAAAUGAGGGUAAAUUUGCUUUGUAAAUGGUUAGUUUAUUUUGAAAAAUUGCUUUUCACAUUGUUUUAAUUGUCUGCAUUGGUUAACGAGAAUUAGAUGCCACCCAAAAAUGGCGGAUAUUCGUCAUCGUGAGAAAGGCUAAUUUAUGAGUUGUUUUAAACCAAUUUGCUUUUACAGUGUUCUAAUUAUUUUCUAUAUCUAAUUCUGGGGUUAUGAAACCUUUCGAUAUUUACAUAAAUUGUCUUUUUAUAAUCAUACUAAUAAUGUUUUUCUAAUAGUUUUCUUUUCUGUAUUUAAUUCUGCGAUUUUGAAACCAGAUUUUCACUUGAUUUUCCGUCAAGUUCAGAGAGACGGCCAAAUACUGUCGUUCAGGACCAACUAUAUAUUGUUGUCGUUCGAAUUCUUUCUCCAAUAUUUCCAGUUGUUGUGGAGUGAAAAUUGUUCUUGUCCUCUUUCUCUUGCAAUCACCAGUUGCAUCAUCGGCU